GACGAACGCUGGCGGCGUGCUUAACACAUGCAAGUCGAACGGAAAGGCCCUGCUUUUGUGGGGUGCUCGAGUGGCGAACGGGUGAGUAACACGUGAGUAACCUGCCCUUGACUUUGGGAUAACUUCAGGAAACUGGGGCUAAUACCGGAUAGGAGCUCCUGCUGCAUGGGGGGGGUUGGAAAGUUUCGGCGGUUGGGGAUGGACUCGCGGCUUAUCAGCUUGUUGGUGGGGUAGUGGCUUACCAAGGCUUUGACGGGUAGCCGGCCUGAGAGGGUGACCGGCCACAUUGGGCCUGAGAUACGGCCCAGACUCCUACGGGAGGCAACAGUGGGGAAUAUUGCACAAUGGGCGGAAGCCUGAUGCAGCAACGCCGCGUGCGGGAUGACGGCCUUCGGGUUGUAAACCGCUUUCGCCUGUGACGAAGCGUGAGUGACGGUAAUGGGUAAAGAAGCACCGGCUAACUACGUG
rnacentral:rRNA from 1 species